rnacentral:lncRNA from 1 species
AAGAAGUCAUUCAAAGAGUCGAAUAUUGACAUGGUUCUUCGAUCAAGCAAACAACUCCUACGAAGAAGUUAUCGGAAGUUAUUCAAANNNNNNNAAGAUGUAGGAAGUUAUUUUCUAUUUUCUAUAAAUAGUUGUAAUUUCUAUGUACAAAGGGUUGAAUCUUAUUUUCUAAAAACUCUGCAAUGCCCACGCCACGGAGCAAACGGGUUCAAGGAGUGCAU